GUCGCAUAGGUCGAAACAUAUUUAUUUUUUAAAAAAAUUAAGUGUGCUGAUUGAGUAUUAUUAUAUUUUGCCAAUAUCCUUGCUAUUGGCUUGUUACUAAUUAUUUUUUUGCUGUGCAAAGAAAAAGUAGCUGUUCAACCUCAUCUCUCCAUGAUUGUGAGCUUCUUAAUUUCGUUUCUUUUUUGGGUUAAAAAGGAGGAGGAGGAGGAGGAAGCAGGAGAAGGAGGAGGAGGAGGAAUGGAAGUUAUGAGAAUCUCUGUACUAGGCUACUAGCUCAAGCUGGACGAUAACGUAGGAGAAUCGAAGGAGAGAGC
rnacentral:lncRNA from 1 species